CCUACGGGUGGCUGCAGUGGGGAAUAUUGCACAAUGGGGGAAACCCUGAUGCAGCGACGCCGCGUGAGUGAAGAAGUAAUUGGUUACGUAAAGCUCUAUCUGCAGGGAAGCAACACUGACCUUACGGUCAGCAGACGGUACCUGAGUAAGAAGCCCCGGCUAACUACGUGCCAGCAGCCGCGGUAAUACGCAGGGGGCAAGCGUUAUCCGGAUUUACUGGGUGUAAAGGGAGCGUAGACGGUGCGCCAAGUCUGGAGUGAAAUGCCGAAGCGUAACUGCGGAACUGCUUUGGAAACUGGCGGACUGGAGUGCGGGAGGGGUAAGCGGAAUGCCUGGUGUAGCGGUGAAAGGCGUAGAUAUUAGGAGGAACACCGGUGGCGAAGGCGGCGUACUGGAACGUAACUGACGUUGAGGCUCGAAAGCGUGGGGAGCGAACAGGAUUAGAUACCCCAGUAGUC
rnacentral:rRNA from 1 species